rnacentral:rRNA from 1 species
AUUGAACGCUGGCGGCAGGCCUAACACAUGCAAGUCGAACGAGUGGCGGACGGGUGAGUAAUGUCUGGGAAACUGCCCGAUGGAGGGGGAUAACUACUGGAAACGGUAGCUAAUACCGCAUACCAUCAGAUGUGCCCAGGUGGGAUUGUCUUGGGGGUGGGGUAACGGCUCACCGCGGCGACGAUCCCUAGCUGGUCUGGGAGGAUGACCAGCCACACUGGAACGGAGACACGGGCCAGACGCCUACGGGAGGCAGCAGGGGGGAAUAUGGGACAAUGGGCGCAAGCCUGAUGCAGCCAUGCCGCGUGUAUGAAGAAGGCCUUCGGGUUGUAAAGUACUUUCAGCGGGGAGGCGUUACCCGCAGAAGAAGCACCGGCUAACUCCGUGCCAGCAGCCGCGGUAAUUC